AACCCUAAAAUUCUAACUUUAUUUUUCAGCAUCCGUCACUCAUAUCUCUCUCCUCUUGCUCUCCCCUCUUUUUCUCUCUCCUUAGAGAUCUACUUCCUUCAAUGGAGAUUAUCUCUUACUUCACCCUCUCUUCCACCUCUCCUUACCUCCAUUUUCGUUCUGCUCCCUCCAUUAUUGAACCUCUCUUCAUUUUCAGCCUCCAAUUUCACAGCCUAUUUAUACCUUAUUCUAACCCUAAACUUUUAAAGCCAAAUCACCGUUGUACGUUCAGCAAUUCGCUUACGAUUCCGAUGAAGGACAUGAUGCGUACUGAGUUCAUCAUUAAGGCUAAUCGUACCCAAAUGUUCUUGGUGAUUUUCCACUUUUUUGGCUUUCUGAUUUGAUUUGAUUCACUGGUUUGUUAUUAGUUUUUCUCCUCCAUUUCUGCGUUUGGAGCCUCCACUCGUUUCUUCACCACUUACCUUCUGCUUGCCGCUGGCGAGCUGCCAUGGUCCACAUCGUCUAUAUGGGAAGACUUUUAAUAAGCCACAUCGUCCUUACGAGGAAUGAUUGGAUGCUGAAUAUGUGCUUCAUAGCAAGAGAGAGCUCUAGAGGGUUCAAUAUGUUUUAACUUUAUCCGUAAUGCUGCAAGGCAUCUUCUUACUCUGGAUGAGAAGAACCCUCAUCAUAUCUUUGAGGGAGAAGCUCUUUUGAGGAGGAUGAACAAGUGUGGGCUAUUGGAUGAAGGACAGAACAAGCCCGAUAACGUGUUGGCUAUUACCGUUGAGAACUUCUUGGAGAGGUGUCUUCAGACCCUCAUCUUCCAAUCUGGUAUGGCCAAGUCUAUUCACCAUGCUAGGGUGCUCAUCAGGCAGAGGCAUAUUAGGGUUGGGAGACAAGUGGUGAAUGUUCCAUCUUUCAUGGUGAGGGUUGACUCACAGAAGCACAUCGACUUCUUUCUCACUAGUCCCUUCAAAGGAGGCCGUCCAGGUAGAGUAAAGCGAAAGAACUAGAAGGCAGUAGCAAAGAAGGCUGUCGGUGGUGAUGGUGACAAGGAAGAUGAAGACUGAGCUAUACCCAUGAACUUUGAUGAUUGUAUAAAAUUAGCCACAGGCGUAUUUUUUUAGCACGAGAAUUUUUUUAGUUUUAAUUAUUCGGUGAUAAUGAACUUUAAUGAUUGUAUAUGAGAUUUUCUACUAUACCAUACUUUUAUAAAACAUAAUUUAUCUCAUUAAUUGAUAAAA